rnacentral:rRNA from 1 species
CCUACGGGGGGCUGCAGUGGGGAAUAUUGGACAAUGGGGGGAACCCUGAUCCAGCCAUGCCGCGUGUGUGAAGAAGGCCCUCGGGUUGUAAAGCACUUUCAGUGAGGAAGAACGCCUGGUGGUUAAUACCCAUCAGGAAAGACAUCACUCACAGAAGAAGCACCGGCUAACUCCGUGCCAGCAGCCGCGGGAAUACGGAGGGUGCGAGCGUUAAUCGGAAUUACUGGGCGUAAAGCGCGCGUAGGUGGCUUGAUAAGCCGGUUGUGAAAGCCCCGGGCUCAACCUGGGAACGGCAUCCGGAACUGUCAAGCUAGAGUGCAGGAGAGGAAGGUAGAAUUCCCGGUGUAGCGGUGAAAUGCGUAGAGAUCGGGAGGAAUACCAGUGGCGAAGGCGGCCUUCUGGACUGACACUGACACUGAGGUGCGAAAGCGUGGGUAGCAAACAGGAUUAGAUACCCGAGUAGUC